rnacentral:rRNA from 1 species
GCGGUACUCUGACCGUGCAAAGGUAGCAUAAUCAUUUGCCUUAUAAUUGAAGGCUAGUAUGAAUGGUUUGACGAGAAUUAAGCUGUCUCUUUUUAACUAAAUAUAACUUUAUUAAGAGGUGAAGAAGCCUGUAUUUUAUUGAAAGACAAGAAGACCCUAUCGAGCUUUAAAGAAUUUAGUAGAUUUACCAUAUAUUAAUAAAAAAGUAAAGCAACUAAAUAUUUUGGUUGGGGCGACUGAGGAACAAACAAAGCUUCCUUUAUGCUAUUAAAACUUACAAGUAUUGAUCCAAUUUAUUUGAUUAAAGAAAUUAGUUACCGUAGGGAUAACAGCAUAAUCUCCUUUGAGAGUUCUCAUCGAAAAGGGGGUUUGUGACCUCGAUGUUGGACCAGAAUACCCAGAAGAUGCAGCCGUCUUCAAUGGUUGGUCUGUUCGACCAUUAAAAUUCU